rnacentral:rRNA from 1 species
GUGGGGAAUCUUGCGCAAUGGGCGAAAGCCUGACGCAGCCAUGCCGCGUGAAUGAUGAAGGUCUUAGGAUUGUAAAAUUCUUUCACCGGGGACGAUAAUGACGGUACCCGGAGAAGAAGCUCCGGCUAACUUCGUGCCAGCAGCCGCGGUAAUACGAAGGGGGCUAGCGUUGCUCGGAAUUACUGGGCGUAAAGGGCGCGUAGGCGGACAGCUUAGUCAGAGGUGAAAGCCCAGGGCUCAACCUUGGAAUUGCCUUUGAUACUGGCUGUCUUGAGUUUGGGAGAGGUGAGUGGAACUCCGAGUGUAGAGGUGAAAUUCGUAGAUAUUCGGAAGAACACCAGUGGCGAAGGCGACUCACUGGCCCAAUACUGACGCUGAGGCGCGAAAGUGUGGGGAGCAAACAGGAUUAGAAACCCGGGUAGUCC